GGAGCAGAACAGGUAGUCGCCCGACGCACCUUGGUGCGAGUGAAGAGUGAGAAGUGAAAGGUGAAAAGUUUAAGGCAUCUUAACUUGGAACUUAAUACUUUGAACUUUGAACUCCGGAGUGCAAACUCCGGACGGGAGGAAAGUCCGAGCUCCACAGGGCAAGGCGCUCCAUAACAUGGAGUCUCCCGUAUGUGCGGGGGAAGGAAAGUGCCACAGAAAGGGAAACCACCAGUUCCCAACUCCGUUUGGAAAGUGAGGAGUGAACAGUCAAGAGUGAAGAGUUAGGGCAACCCGGCUUUGAACUUUGAACUGGAAACUUUGAACUCCGGAGCGUUAGUUCCGGCUGGAAAGGGUGAAAAGGUGUCUGCCGGUCAAAGGCAGAUUCGCCGAAGUGGCGGAAGGUAAGAGCUCACCAGUGUUACGGGUGACCGGACAGCUUGGCAAACCCCACCUGGAGCAAGGCCAAAUAGGUUCCGCAUUGAGAGGGGCCCCUUUAAAUCCCUGUCUCGACAGGGAGGCGGAACGGGUAAGGCUGCAUGAUCCUGAUCGUAAGGUCAGGGCUUAGAGGAAUGGCUACGGUCCUGAUUUUUAGGAUUACAGAACUCGGCUUAUGGACUGCUUCGGCA
rnacentral:RNase_P_RNA from 1 species